UGUUUUCAUGGUUCAGAAGUCACAGAUUACAGCAUUCUCUUGUGAACCAACUGGAUGUGGCUGGGCCUCAGAGUGCAUUCAGAUACCAUGAUGGUAAUUUGAGUAUUUUUCUGCAAGUAGUAAAUUCUAAGUAAAUAGUUGUUAAAAUGUUUGGAAUAGAUUUGUACUUAAUAACUGUGGUUUUAUCUUAUGUGAAGAACAUACACAUUUUGAUAUUUAGUUGACUUUGUAAUAGAUCAUUGCAAGAACCCAAUUUACACUGUAUAAUGGAUGUUACAAUGGGAGCCUUUUUUUUCUCAUGUUAAUGCAAAUC
rnacentral:lncRNA from 1 species